GACGAACGCUGGCGGCGUGCUUAACACAUGCAAGUCGAACGGAAUGGCCCUGCUUUUGUGGGGUGCUCGAGUGGCGAACGGGUGAGUCACACGUAAGUAACCUGCCUUUGACUUUGGGAUAACUUCAGGAAACUGGGACUACUCCCGGUUUGGAGCUCCUGCUGCCUGGUUGGGGUUGGAUCGUUUCGGCGGAUGGGGAUGGACUCGCGGGUUAUCAGCUUGUUGGUGGGGUACUGGCUUACCAAGGCAUUGUCGGGUAGCCGGCCUGAGAGGGUGACCGGGCACAUUGGGACUGAGAUACGGCCGGCACUCGUACGGGAGACAGCAGUGGGGAAUAUUGCACGAUGGACGGAAGCCUGAUGCAGCAACGCCGCGUGCGGGAUUACGGCCUUCGGGUGGAAAGCCGCUUUCGCCUGUGACGAAGCGUGAGUGACGGUAAUGGGUAAAGAAGCACCGGCUAACUACGUG
rnacentral:rRNA from 1 species